CCUACGGGGGGCAGCAGUGGGGAAUAUUGCGCAAUGGGCGAAAGCCUGACGCAGCGACGCCGCGUGAGGGCUGAAGGUCUUCUGAUCGUAAACCUCUGUCAGCAGGGAAGAACGGUCACUGUGCUAAUCAGCAGUGAAUUGACGGUACCUGCAAAGGAAGCACCGGCUAACUCCGUGCAAGCAGCCGCGGUAAUACGGAGGGUGCGAGCGUUAAUCGGAAUUACUGGGCGUAAGGCGCUCGUAGGCGGUAUGUCAAGUCAAGGGUGAAAUCCCCGCGCUCAACGUGGGAACUGCCUUUGAAACUGGCAAACUGGAGAGGGUCAGAGGAUAGUGGAAUUCCAGGUGUAGGAGUGAAAUCCGUAGAUAUCUGGAGGAACAUCAGUGGCGAAGGCGACUAUCUGGCACAUAACUGACGCUGAGGAGCGAAAGCGUGGGUAGCAAACAGGAUUAGAUACCCCUGUAGUC
rnacentral:rRNA from 1 species